rnacentral:tRNA from 1 species
GUCAGGAUGGCCGAGCGGUCUAAGGCGCCAGACUCAAGGUUUCCUUGCCUGCUUUGCGGGUUUAUGAGCGUUCUGGUCCUCUUUGAGGGCGUGGGUUCGAAUCCCACUUCUGACA